CACCGCUCAAGGCAGCUCCUGACUCCUGAGCAGAAAGCCGGAGGGACUCAGCGGAGCAGCUAAAGUGCAGCUAGCCAGGUGUUUAAACUUUGGAAAAUGACCUUCCUCAUGUUUCAAAUAGACAAGACCCAGCCUCUGAUAUUGAGGCCAUCAGAUGCUGCGAUGCCGUCUGCUGGAUGGGACUCUCCAUGAGUUUUUGGUACUUGUCAUUUGAGUUGAGCAGCAAGUAUCUUCUACUUGUUCUA